GAUAAGAACGCAGCGAAAUGCGAUACUUGGUGUGAAUUGCAGAAUCCCGUGAACCAUCGAGUCUUUGAACGCAAGUUGCGCCUCAAGCCAUUAGGUUGAGGGCACGUCUGCCUGGGCGUCACAUAUCGUUGCCUGAUGCCAGUUUCCUCGUGAUGGGUGACUGUGCAGGGCGAAUGAUGGCUUCCCGUGAGCAUUGUUGCCUCAUGGUUGGUUGAAAAUUGAGUCCUUGGUAGGGAGCGCCGUGAUAGAUGGUGGUUGAGUGACGAACGAGACCCAAUCAUGUGAGACCCCUACCGAAUUUGGCCUUCAUGACCCACAUGCGUCUUUGGAACGCUCAUGACGAGACCUCAGGUCAGGCGGGGCUACCCGCUGAGUUUAAGCAUAUCAAUAAGCGGAGGA
rnacentral:misc_RNA from 1 species